UUUUAUCCAGCAGCUGGGGGCCUGUGAAAAAAAUCUGGGUAGAUAUGGACAAAUAAAGGGACUACAUUUUCUCUGCAGCGCCCAGAGAACUGUGGGUAAUUUGAGGAUUGGCGCCACCUGUAACGGGCCUGUCGACUCCAGCGCGCGGGAGAAAGGAGCCGGAGCCUCACGGGCUGAAAUCGGCUCCCGGGGGUUUCGGAUGCAGGGCUGUCUCUGGGCAAACCCCGAGAGCCACAGAAGCCGAGGAGAGCUUCACCGAAAGGUCCAGAGGCGGGCUGCUACCCCCUGCGGGAGACGGUCCUCAGCCCUCGCCAAACGCUUCCCGCCAGAGGGCCGGGGAGGAACCUCCUUCGCCAGGACUUCACCGCGCUCCGCCGGCCGCCGGGGUCCCUGGGAAAUGAAGCCAGGCAGCUGCCAGCCGGCCUCCUAACUCCUCCUUCCUCUCCGAUGGAGGGGCUAUGUAAGAAUGAAUAUGAGUGGCAGCUGACAGCCAGCCAGCAACAAAGACCUCAGUCCUACAACCUCAAAGACUGGAUUCUGCCGACACCUUGAAUGAAUUUGAAAGUAGAAUCUUCCCCAGAGCCUUCAGAUAAGAGCCCUGAUGGCUGACAUCUUGAUUUCAACUUUGGAGUACACUGAGCAGAGCCCAGAAGUGCCCUCCUGGAUUCUUCACCUACAGAAAUGUGACAGAGAAAGAGACACAGGGAGGAUGACCACCUAGCACCAGGUCUAUUAAGAUAUUUCUGCAUUUUUCUAAAUUAAUCAUUCCCACACCUGGAGAAACAGAGGACAACAAUUUUUAGCACCUUAUUUAUAAAGGCGGAAAACCCAAAAGCCAGAGAAGGUAAG